rnacentral:rRNA from 1 species
AAAUUGAAGAGUUUGAUCAUGGCUCAGAUUGAACGCUGGCGGCAGGCCUAACACAUGCAAGUCGAACGGUAGCACAGAGGAGCUUGCUCCUUGGGUGACGAGUGGCGGACGGGUGAGUAAUGUCUGGGAAACUGCCCGAUGGAGGGGGAUAACUACUGGAAACGGUAGCUAAUACCGCAU